rnacentral:tRNA from 1 species
GGGCGGUUAGCUCAGGUGGCUAGAGCGCUUGCUUGACAUGCAAGAGGUCACAGGUUCAAGUCCUGUACUGCCCA